AUCUGCGGCCAUAUCACCCUGCACACGUGUGAUCUCACCUGAUCUCAGAAGCUAUGCAGGGUCGGGCCUGGUUAGUACCUGGAUGGGAGACUGCUUGGGAAUACUGGGUGCUGUAGGGU
rnacentral:rRNA from 1 species